rnacentral:rRNA from 1 species
AUUGAACGCUGGCGGCAUGCCUUACACAUGCAAGUCGAACGGCAGCAUGGAGGAGCUUGCUCCUCUGAUGGCGAGUGGCGAACGGGUGAGUAAAGCAUCGGAACGUACCGUGUAGUGGGGGAUAACGUAGCGAAAGUUACGCUAAUACCGCAUACGCACUGAGGUGGAAAGCAGGGGAUCGCAAGACCUUGCGCUAUACGAGCGGCCGCUGUCAGAUUAGCUAGUUGGUAGGGUAAAGGCCUACCAAGGCGACGAUCUGUAGCGGGUCUGAGAGGAUGAUCCGCCACACUGGGACUGAGACACGGCCCAGACUCCUACGGGAGGCAGCAGUGGGGAAUUUUGGACAAUGGGGGGAAACCUCGUAGUACCACGACCGACCU